rnacentral:rRNA from 1 species
UACGUAGGCAGCGAGCGUUGUUCGGAGUUACUGGGCGUAAAGGGUGCGUAGGCGGUUGUUUAAGUUUGGUGUGAAAUCUCCCGGCUCAACUGGGAGGGUGCGCCGAAUACUGAAUGACUAGAGUGCGGGAGAGGAGAGUGGAAUUCCUGGUGUAGAGGUGAAAUUCGUAGAUAUUCGGAAGAACACCAGUGGCGAAGGCGACACACUGGGCCAUUACUGACGCUGAGGCGCGAAAGCGUGGGGAGCAAACAGG